AGGGAAUCAUUGGAUUCGACAUGACUCAGAGGCAUAGGUGUCCUUCAGUUGGAUUGUGAGAAAGAACCACAAAUAAAAGAAUCUCAUCCAGC